UACGUAGGGUGCGAGCGUUAAUCGGAAUUACUGGGCGUAAAGCGUGCGCAGGCGGUUUUGUAGGCCAGAUGUGAAAGCCCCGGGCUCAACCUGGGAAUGGCAUUUGGGACUGCAAGGCUUGAGUGCGGCAGAGGAGACUGGAAUUCCUGGUGUAGCAGUGAAAUGCGUAGAUAUCAGGAGGAAUACCGAUGGCGAAGGCAGGUCUCUGGGCUGACACUGACGCUCAUGCACGAAAGCGUGGGGAGCAAACAGG
rnacentral:rRNA from 1 species